rnacentral:rRNA from 2 species
GGCGACGAUACGUAGCCGACCUGAGAGGGUGAUCGGCCACACUGGAACUGAGACACGGUCCAGACUCCUACGGGAGGCAGCAGUAGGGAAUCUUCCGCAAUGGGCGAAAGCCUGACGGAGCAACGCCGCGUGAGUGAUGAAGGGUUUCGGCUCGUAAAACUCUGUUAUUAGGGAAGAACAAAUGUGUAAGUAACUGUGCACGUCUUGACGGUACCUAAUCAGAAAGCCACGGCUAACUACGUGCCAGCAGCCGCGGUAAUACGUAGGUGGCAAGCGUUAUCCGGAAUUAUUGGGCGUAAAGCGCGCGUAGGCGGUUUCUUAAGUCUGAUGUGAAAGCCCACGGCUCAACCGUGGAGGGUCAUUGGAAACUGGGAAACUUGAGUGCAGAAGAGGAAAGUGGAAUUCCAUGUGUAGCGGUGA